GAUGAACGCUGGCGGCGUGCUUAACACAUGCAAGUCGAACGGAAAGGCCCAAGCUUGCUUGGGUACUCGAGUGGCGAACGGGUGAGUAACACGUGGGUGAUCUGCCCUGCACUUCGGGAUAAGCCUGGGAAACUGGGUCUAAUACCGGAUAGGACCACAUUUUGGAUGGUGUGGUGGAAAGUUUUUCGGUGUGGGAUGAGCUCGCGGCCUAUCAGCUUGUUGGUGGGGUAAUGGCCUACCAAGGCGUCGACGGGUAGCCGGCCUGAGAGGGUGUACGGCCACAUUGGGACUGAGAUACGGCCCAGACUCCUACGGGAGGCAGCAGGGGGGAAUAUUGCACAAUGGGCGCAAGCCUGAUGCAGCGACGCCGCGGGGGGGAUGACGGCCUUCGGGUUGGAAACUCCUUUCGCUAGGGACGAAGCGUUAUGUGACGGUACCUGGAGAAGAAGCACCGGCUAACUACGUG
rnacentral:rRNA from 1 species